AGUUUUAUGAUACAGACAGGAAAUAAAGGCACACCUUUGAGGCACACCCUUCAGUCCGCUACAAGUUUGGGACACCUCCUAGCUGAGGGACCAAAAUUCAACUUAUGGAAUUAUAUGCUAAGUUUAAUAUACAGAGGAUAAAUUUUACCUAAAAUUUGGCAAGACUUCAGGCUGUCUCUGAUGCCCAGCCCUAAGAAAUCUAGACAGUUGGGGAAAUCAUGCUAGAUAUGCUUUAGGGUACCUGGCCCCUAAAGGAGCUGACUGAUCAUCAGGUCACAGGUUCACCUGCUGCCAUCGCAGAAGAUUGGACCAGGGUGGUUGAACAUCUAACUAGAAGACACCUAAGGAUCGGUGAUCUUCAACUUCCAAACCCAAUCUGGAAAAGGGAGCUAGGCUCAUCAGAUACCCUCUGGGAAGAGCCUGACUUAGAAAUUCAGAGGGGUCGCCUGGGUGGCUCAGUCGGUUAAGCAUUCAACUCUUGAUUGUAGCACAGGUCAUGAUAUCCCGGUUGGUGACAUGGAACCCCACGUCCGGCUCUGUGUACUGACAGCUCAGAGCCUGCUUGGGAUACUCUCUCUCCUUCUCUCUCUGCCCCUCCCCUGCUCAUGCUGUGCGCUCUCUCUCUCAAAAUAAACUUUUUUUUCAAAAUAUAUUAAUAAACUUA
rnacentral:lncRNA from 1 species